rnacentral:lncRNA from 1 species
CAGGGCCCGCCGGAGGUACCAGCAGCUGAGUGGCUGCUCGACACCAUGUUUAUCUAACGGACCAUAAUAGCCACAGCCACCCAGCACAAUGGACAGUCAGAUGUCCUGCAGAGCAGAAAUCUGGAACGGGUCACAGCGUGGCUCAGGCUCCCCAGAUGAUCUCCACUACUGAGCUAACAGGAGGGUAUGAAGGUCUCUAAGGAUGCAGCGUCACAACUGGUGAAGGGGAAGACUUUCCUUGAGAAAGCAAGUAACAGAAUCCACCAACCUUCCCGGGGCUCCAUUUUCAAAGGGAGGUCAGACUGUGCCUGUGCCACCCCCAGGUGCAUGAAGCUUCCCAGCUGCCAGCUUUGCCAUGUCCUUGUGGCACAUGCUGUAUGCCUCAGCACCCUGCCGUGCCCAGGAGCCACCAGCAACUUGUGAAAUUCCUCACCUUCAUCUUUCAUUCCCCUGGGACCAGGCUCUGAGGAAGUGGACGGCACCAACUAACCGGCUGCUUUGAAAUUACAGACCAUUUGACUGAGAAAACUUGAAAG